GACGUAGGAGGCGAGCGUUAUCCGGAUUCACUGGGCGUAAAGCGCAUGUAGGCGGUUGGACAAGUCGUGUGUUAAAGCCCCUGGCUCAACUGGGGGAGGUCAUGCGAGACUGUGCGACUUGAGGGCAAGAGAGGCACGUGGAACUCCCGGUGUAGUGGUGGAAUGCGUAGAUAUCGGGAGGAACACCAGUGGCGAAGGCGGUUGCCUGGAGCUUUGCUGACGCUGAGGCGCGAAAGCGUGGGGAGCGAUCCGG
rnacentral:rRNA from 1 species